CCGGGUGUACAUUGUCCAGGGUAAUCAUGGAACUUAGGCUGGAAAUCCAUGGUAUAACAUGGAAUUCCAUGGUAAUCCCUGGAAUUUGAAACAGUUUCCAGGGUUUUCCAGGGUUUUGUUCUAGAAAUGUCCAUGAAACGUGGACUUUUUUUCCAAGCAUUUUCCAGCCUUGGAUGGAAAAGCAUGGAAAAGGAAUGGAAAACGCUGGAUUUAGGCUGGAUAACCCUGGAAAAUAUUUCCAGAUAGCAUGGAAAGUAGAACAUAGAAUUUUUUAAGCAUGGAAAAGACUCUAACAUUUUCAGCUAACUCUGGAAAAAACUUAGACUUUAUAAGAGGAGAAAAUAACUUAUAAAAAUGCAACACAUUUUAUUCAAAGUAAAUCAGAGUUCAACAAUUUACACAACAUAUGAAUAAAACAUAAAACAAUGUGCAUAGUUUGGGCAGAAAUAGUAGUAGUUAUAGUAGUAGUAGUAGUAGUAGAAGUAGUAAUGCUGGUGCUGGCAGUAGAAUAUGUUGUAGGAGUAGAAGUAAAAGUGGUUGUUGUAUAAGUUGUACAAGCAGUUAAACUACUGAUAAUUAUACUAUUGGUGCAAAUUUAAGUGACAGUAGCAGUUACUAUUGUGUUGUUGUUUUAGCAUUUACAGGAAUAGUAGCAGUAAUGGUAGCAAUAGUAGUAUAAAUAAUAAUAACAAUACUAGUAGCAGCAGUAGAAGUAGUAGUUAAGGAAGUAGCAUUAGCAGCAGCAGCAGUAGUAGUAGUAGAAGUAGCAGCAGCAGCAGUAGUAGCAGUAGCAGCAUCAGUAGUAGUAGCAGUAGUAGUAGCAGUAGUAGUUGAAGUACUAGUAGUAGUAGUAGUAGUAGUAGUAGUAGUAGUAGUAGUAGUAGUAGUAGUAGUAGUAGUAGUAGUAGAAGUAGAAGUAGCAGCAGUAGUAGUGGUAGAAGUAGUAGUAGUAGUAACAGCAACAGCAGCAGCAGUAGUAGUAGUAGUCGCUGCAGCAGGAGUUGUAAUAGUAGCAGCAGCAGCAGUAGCAGUAGUAGUAGUAGCAGCAGCAGCAGCAGCAGGAGUAGUAGCAGCAGCAGCAGUAGCAGCAGCAGUAGCAGUAGUAGUAGUAGUUGAAGCAGUAGUAGUAGUUGAAGUAGUAGUAGUAGUAGUAGUAGUAGCAGUAGUAGCAGCAGUAGUAGUAGUAGUAGUAGUAGUAGUAGUAGUAGUAGUAGUAGAAGUAGAAGUAGCAGUAGUAGUAGUAGUAGUAGUAGCAGUAGUAGUAGUAGUAGUAGUAGUAGUAGGUAGUUGUUGUUGUUGUUGUGGCUGUUGUAAUAGUAGUAGUAGUUUUGCAGAAGUAGUAGUAGUAGUAGUAGUACUAGUAGUAGAAGUAAUAGUAGUAACUUUCAAAGCAAUGUCUACAAGUUUAAAUUCCUUAACCCUGUUCAAGGUGUAUACACACUUAAUAUUUAACUACAGUCCAGGUUUGCAAUUAACAAACUAUCUGAAAAGCCUGUGUGUGAGUCAGAUGUGUCUGCGGCUAAUCUAUUGGUUAUAAAAUAUCACAGCCUUUUCUGAUUGGCUGAGUUCAAAUACAGAAAGUUUACCUGUUAGAUUGAAUUUCUGGAGAAGGCGUAUUGAAGAAAAAAUGCAGCUUAAACUUGUUGUUAAAAUGAAGUUAAUGUAAUUUCACAAACAGUAGAGUUAAUGAGUUUUUCCAUUAACAAGAAUUUCUUAAAAUAAUAAUGUAUGGAUAUCAUUUGGAAAGUGACAUGAAAUGUUGUUAAAAAGUGAUGCAUACAAGUGUUUCAGAAGUCUGUCUAGGAAUAGAACAACAACUGAAGCUGACCAGUUGAUGGAAGAUACUGCAGAGUUUGGCAGGGAAAUAACCCAAGACAGCAAAGCGGCUCUUUUGGCGCAUUUACCAAGAGGACUAACAUGGCCACAAAUUCAUGAGAUCAUGCAGGAGCCCUACAGUAUAACAGCAGUACAAGUUCUAUAAAAGAUCCACGACCUACUGAAGCCCAGCUAAUUAACAAAAAAGUUUUUAAAAACUGUAAUUUUAUCCCACCUGGGUACUUAUAAUUUACUAAGCUGCCUACACAAGUUUUAGAUUUGCAAUUAUAUUUUAAAUUGUCACUUGGAAAGUAAUACAUGUACAUCUAUUAUGUUCUGAAUUUCUUUGAACAAUAAAAUUAUAUAAAAGUAUUUUAAUGAAAUUAAGCACCUAAAUUGCAUUAAAGUGAAAGUAGCUGAGAACAAGAUGUGUUUGUGAAACACAAUGUCCCCCUAUAUGACGUUUGACCUUGAAGGAUGACCUUGACCUUGACCCUUCACUACUCAAAAUGUGCAGCUCCAUGAGAUACACAUGCAUGUCAAAUAUAAAAUUGCUAGCUUCAAUAUUGCAGAAGUUGCAUUACAUGAGCAAUUUUGACCCAUAUAUUUGACUUGGAAGGAUGACCUUGACCUUGACCUUUCACCACUCAAAAUGUGCAGCUCCAUAAGUUACACAUGCAUGCCAAAUAUCAAGUUGCUAUCUUCAAUAUUGCAAAAGUUUUCAUAAAAUAAGCGAUUUGGGCCACAUAUAUUUGACCUCUGACCUUGAAGGAUGACCUUGACCUUUCACCACUCAAAAUGUGCAGCUCUAUAAGUUACACAUGCAUGCCAAAUAUCAAGUUGCUAUCUUUAAUAUUGCAAAAGUAUUCAUAAAAUAAGCGAUUUGGGCCACAUAUAUUUGACCUCUGACCUUGAAGUAUGACCUUGACCUUUCACCACUCAAAAUGUGCAGCUCCAUGAGAUACACAUGCAAGCCAAAUAUCAAGUUGCUAUCUUCAAUAUUGCAAAAGUAUUCAUAAAAUGAGCGAUUUUGGCCACAUAUAUUUGACCUCUGACCUUGAAGGAUGACCUUGACCUUUCACCACUCAAAAUGUGCAGCUCCAUGAGAUACACAUGCAUGCCAAAUAUCAAGUUGCUAUCUUCAAUAUAGCAAAAGUUAUUUCAAAAUGUUAAAGUUGGUGCAAACCAACCAACCAACCAACAGACCAACCAACCAACAGACUAACCAACAGACAGGGCAAAAACAAUAUGUCCCCCACUACUAUAGUGGGGGACAUAAAAAUAUUAUCCUUGUGCUCAUGUUCAGCUACAUAUAUUGUGACAUACAUGAAGCAGCUAAAAAUAACUUAAAUUUUUCAUUUUGUUUCUUGUAUAUCGUUUGUACAGGGUUCGUGAAUUGUUACUGUAUAUUACUUGACUUGCUUGUAUUUUGUUACUUUGAAUACAUGUUGUGAAGGUUGCAUUAUACUUUUUAACUUUUAAAGGAGCGCUUGUUCUGUUAUGUAAGGGCCUGAUUUAUGAUUAUGGACCUAGAGGCUUUGUAAGCAUGUAUUAAACAACACUUGUUUGAUCUGAAUAAUUUGUUAAAUAAAUGUAACACAAUUUGUAAUCUGAUGUUAUAUUUUGAUGAAUUGUGAACAAAAUAAUACAUCGAAGAAACUAA